rnacentral:rRNA from 1 species
AGUGAACGCUGGCGGUAUGCCUAACACAUGCAAGUCGAACGGCAGCACAGUAAGAGCUUGCUCUUACGGGUGGCGAGUGGCGGACGGGUGAGGAAUACAUCGGAAUCUACUUUUUCGUGGGGGAUAACGUAGGGAAACUUACGCUAAUACCGCAUACGACCUACGGGUGAAAGCAGGGGAUCUUCGGACCUUGCGCGAUUGAAUGAGCCGAUGUCGGAUUAGCUAGUUGGCGGGGUAAAGGCCCACCAAGGCGACGAUCCGUAGCUGGUCUGAGAGGAUGAUCAGCCACACUGGAACUGAGACACGGUCCAGACUCCUACGGGAGGCAGCAGUGGGGAAUAUUGGACAAUGGGCGCAAGCCUGAUCCAGCCAUACCGCGUGGGUGAAGAAGGCCUUCGGGUUGUAAAGCCCUUUUGUUGGGAAAGAAAAGCAGCAGGUUAAUACCCCGCUGUUCUGACGGUACCCGAAGAAUAAGCACCGGCUAACUUCGUG